UACGGGGGGGGCAAGCGUUGUUCGGAAUUACUGGGCGUAAAGGGUUCGUAGGUGGCCUGCUAAGUCAGACGUGAAAUCCCUCGGCUCAACCGGGGAACUGCGUCUGAGACUGGCGGGCUUGAGUACAGGAGAGGAACGCGGAAUUCCUGGUGUAGCGGUGAAAUGCGCAGAUAUCAGGAGGAACACCGGUGGCGAAGGCGGAUCUCUGGGCCUUACCUGACGCUCAGGUGCGAAAGCUAGGGGAGCGAACAGG
rnacentral:rRNA from 1 species